CCCCACCCCCAGAUCAAAUUGGCCUGGUGGAUUAACGACGACGGCCGGUGUGCUGGCCAGCCUGGAUGUGGUUUUUAGGCAGUUUUCCACAUCCUACUAGCAUUGGGUGGUGGGAUCUUCUCGCUAUUACAUAAGUUGUGGCAGUGGCUACUUGCACCAUGCAGUCCGUCUGUGGCGGUUGUUGUUUCCUGCACUGUGUGCAGUGUUGCUAGCUCUUGCCCAGUGUGACCAAGUGUGUAAUUGUUUCCUCCCUUAUGUGAUGCAUUGUUGAUUCAGCUGUUUAUUACAGCUGUGUAUGAAUGAAGGAAAAGUAGAAGACUAAUGCAGUCAUAUGGUCCAACACAUAAGGAUUUCUUGACAAGGCCAUAAGCAAAAACAAACAGAUUCUGGCCAAAGAUGCUGGAGUUGGCAGUCGUGUGCUUGCUUGUGUGUAUCUCUUUUACUGAUGAAGGCUGUGGCCGAAGGCUUUAUGAAAAUUACCAUGAUAUAAUUUGACAGAUGAGGCGAUUAAGGGGACAAAUUCAAGAGGAGAAGACCAGCAGAAAGAGACGAGAAGACAACUAUUG